rnacentral:rRNA from 1 species
UGUGUAGGCGGUUUUGUAAGUUUGGUGUGAAAUCUCCCGGCUUAACUGGGAGGGUGCGCCGAAUACUGCAAGGCUUGAGUACUGGAGAGGAUAGCGGAAUUCCUGGUGUAGCGGUGAAAUGCGUAGAUAUCAGGAGGAACACCGGCGGUGUAGACGGCUGUCUGGACAGUAACUGACGCUGAGACACGAAAGCGUGGGGAGCAAACAGGAUUAGAUACCCUGGUAGUCCACGCCCUAAACGAUGCAUACUUGGUGUGGGUGAUUCAUUUUAUCCGUGCCGGAGCUAACGCGUUAAGUAUGCCGCCUGGGGAGUACGGUCGCAAGGCUGAA